AUCGCUUCUAGGCCUUUUGGCUAAGAUCAAGUGUAGUAUCUGUUCUUAUCAGUUUAAUUUCUUCAUUGUAUAAAGAUUUAGUAGAAGUCUCCUGUAAAUCUGU
ensembl:snRNA U2 U2 spliceosomal RNA